GCUCCGAUAGUGUAGCAGGCCAAUCAUUCUGGCCUUUCAAGCCAGAGACUCGGGUUCAAAUCCCGAUCGGAGCA
rnacentral:tRNA from 1 species